CGAGAGCAGCAGCCAAGUCCCCAUGAUCUCCAUCAUAUAUUUCACAAAAUCACCAAGCAAAAAAGGAGAGCAGCUAACCGAGAAUUUUUAAGUCCUUAACGAGAGAAAACGAGGUGAAAAUUGAGAUAACGACGACAUGUAAAUUGACAACACAUAAAAACCCCAAUGGUUGCAGCCUCUACAUUCUUGAUUUAAUUCAUCUUCCUAAAUUUCUCCUUAAACUAAAAACUUCACCCAUUAACCCAACCACAUCAUCUCGUUCUUCUUUGAAAAUUCAAUGAUUUAGAUGACAAGACAAGAGCUCAGGCCACAAUUUGGAGUUCGAAUGUAGUUUGUUGUCUGCGGUCCAGUUUCGGGUUUUUGGUUUGCUAAUUCGGAAUUCGAUUCGAAGUGCUUCCCAUCGUUGGUUCAAUUCGCGGUUCCGAGUUCGAAAUUGCUGGUCCUGUUUGCGAUCUGGUUUUCAGUUUGAGUAUUCAACAUUCACUGUUGUACUAGCUAUUUUGCUCGUGAAUUUCAAGAAGAUCCAGUGAGUUGAUCUUAAUUCCUUUUAGCAAUUUUUGUUUUGUUUUGUUAAAGAGAUACUCUAAGCAUAUUUGUUUUGUUUCACUGCCUUCUCAUGAACCUUCUAUUAAAUUUUUUAUUUUGUAUAAUUUCUAUUGAAGUAUUCAUUAAAGAUUGUUCUUAUUCGGUUGGUAGUUGUGUCUAAGUAUAUUAUGAGCAAUACAUUUCUACAAAAAGUGUUUGGUUGCAGAUACACAAGAUUAUUUUUUUGGGAUUUAAGUUCAUGAGACGUUGAUCGAUAGUUCCAGUUAUUGUAAAAAUUUGGCUAAGAUUUUGAGUAGUGCAUUUGUCAUUUCAUUAAAUCUAAUGAUGAUGGCAGAUAUUCUACCAAAAGGUCCAUUGAUAUAUUUUUUUCCAGUUUUCUUCAAUAUAGUUUAAUUAUCACUAAUAUUUUUCUUCUUGUUUAAUUUUAUUUGUAGUCAUGUGUAGAAAUUUAAUUUUUAUUGUUAUGCAUUUUUGUUUAAAUUUUUGACAUAAUUUGAGUUUUAACUUUGAUUAGGUGACUUAGAAAUUCUUAGUAUUACUCAUAAAAUUGUUCUGUACUAAUUCCAUAAACUAUUCCCUUUACAACGGAUCUCAAGCGAAUGUAGAAAUUAAUUAACCGUGAACAUCGCAGCUUGAUUUUGGCAUGAUUAAUAAAUAAAUAUCGUGACUAUAGGUACGGCUCCCGUGAUAUGGUCAUGAUACAUAAACUUGGGUGUGCAUUUAUGUGACCCAAAUCCAAGUCUCAACAACGUUAGAUAAAAUGUGUUGUAGACCGCGAGUGCAUUUAUGUGACGUGGUUCAAGAUGUAUUUUAGAUGACGUUGAAUCUUUCCUAAUAAAAAAAAAUAAUUCAAUAAAAGCGGCUCAAAAGUUCAAAAUUGCACCAUAAGUUAAAACAUGUACUAAAAUCAGAUAUUAGGCUAAUUAUGACAGUUGAACGACCGUGCUAAAACCACGGAACUCGGGAAUGCCUAAAACCUUCCCUCGGGUUAACAUAAUUCCUUACCCGAACUUCUGUGUUCGUGGACUGUAAAACAGAGUCAAUAUUUCCUCUAUUCGAGAUUUAAAACCGGUGAAUUGGGGCACCAUAAAUUAUCCCAAGUGGCGACUCUGAAUUUUAAAUAAAUUAAUCCCGUUUCAAUUGUCACUUAAAUUGGAAAAACUCCCUUAUACCUCUUCCGUGAUGUAGGUAAAAAGGAGGUGUGACAGCCUGUCGUAUUUACAGCCAAUAAAGAGGGGAAUAGCCUAUAAGGUUCAUCAGCUAGCUAAUCUUGGAGUUCGGUUACUGGAUUCAGGUGAUAUUGGAAUUACUUUUCAAGAUACGACAACAUCCUCUUUAGUAACUGAAGUAAAUGAACGCCAGUAUGUGGAUCCUGUGUUAGUUCAUUAUAGGGAUACCACCCUUCAGAAGGAGAAGAAACCGUUUGAAAUUACAGAAGAUGGGGUCUUCAUAUAUCAAGGACGAUUAUGUGUCCCUAAUGUUGCAGGGCUACAUCAGCAGGUUAUGGGAGAAACUCACUAUUCUCGUUAUUCUGUCCAUCCAGGAGCGACAAAGAUGUAUCAUGCUAUUAGGGAAGUGUAUUGGUGGGACAGAAUGAAAAAGGAUAUAGUGGAGUUUGUUGCUCAGUCUCCUAACUGUCAGCAAGUUAAGAUUGAGCAUCAAAAACCCGGUGGGUUAUUACGGGCUAUGGAGAUUCCAACUUGGAAAUGGAAAGUANNNNNNNNNNNNNNNNNNNNNNNNNNNNNNNNNNNNNNNNNNNNNNNNNNNNNNNNNNNNNNNNNNNNNNNNNNNNNNNNNNNNNNNNNNNNNNNNNNNNNNNNNNNNNNNNNNNNNNNNNNNNNNNNNNNNNNNNNNNNNNNNNNNNNNNNNNNNNNNNNNNNNNNNNNNNNNNNNNNNNNNNUGUUGAUAGGCUUAUAAAGUCAUCCCAAGAACUACAUAUUCCUCAGAGGAUUAUGCAAGGCUUUAUAUUACGGAAAUAGUACGACUGUAUGGUGUCCCUGUAUAUAUUAUCUCGAAUAGAGGAGCUCAAUUUACAGCUAACUUCUGGAUGUCCUUCCAAAAAGGAUUGGGGACUCAAGUAAGUCUUACUACAACAUUUCAUCCCCAUACAGACGGCCCGGCUGAGCAUACUAUUCAGACACUGGAGGAUAUGUUACGAGCUUGUGUAAUAGACUUCAAAGGUAGCUGGGAUGAUCAUCUGCCGCUUAUUGAGUUUACAUAUAAUAAUAGUUACCAUUCCAGUAUUCAGAUGGCUCCAUACGAAGCUCUUUACUGACGGAAGUGUUGAUCGCCUAUAGGUUGGUUUGAUGUUGGAGAAUCUGGAUUACAUGGGCCAGACCUAGUUCAGGAAGCCACAGAAAUAGUAAAGCUUAUCCGGGAUCGACUAUUGACAGCUCAGAGUCGUCGGAAGUCAUAUUCUAACAUGCGGCGACGAGAUUUAGAGAUCAGGGUUGAUGACUAGGUAUUCUUAAAGGUGUCACUUAUAAAGGGUGUGAUAAGGUUUGGCAAGAAAGGUAAACUUAGCCCAUGGUAUAUUGGGCCUUAUAGGAUCAUUCGGAGAGUGGACCAAGUAGCUUAUGAGUUAGAAUUACCCUCGGAAUUGUAGCCUGUCCAUCCGGUUUUUCACGUAUCUAUGUUACGGAAGUGCAUUGGCAAUCCUACUCGAGUGGUGCCCACAGAUGAUGUACAGAUUAUAGAAGACUUGUCAUACGAGGAAAUUCCGGUUGCCAUCCUAGACCGAUAAAUCUGCAAGCUACGAAAUAAGGAGGUAGCCUCCGUAAAAGUACUUUGGAGAAACAACAAUGUGGAAGAAAUGACUUGGGAGGCCGAAGAAGACAUGAAGUCUAGAUAUCAUUGCUUAUUUCCUCCUCCAGAGAAGGGUCUGACUGGGACAUCAUAACUAUAAGGUACGUGUAUAAAUUCUUGUGUUGGUUGUUGUCGUUGGUCGUGUGAUGCCAUUAUCAUUAUCAUUCUACAGGAAGAGUAGGUAGUAUCAUUGUUACAAAGGUGACCCUGCCAAAGUUAUAUAGACCUCGGGGAGUUAAACAUUCGAGGACGAAUGUUUCUAAGAGGGGGGAUGUUACACCUCGCGUUUUCGUACGUUAAAAGUUUCGUCUUCAAUUAAAUAAUGUAGACUCGGGGAUGAGAUCAUCUUGACGUUAACGUAUUUACACUAUUUAUAACAAGUGAUACAUAAGUGCCAUGAAGGAUAAUGGGUACACGAAUUAAAGAAAACGAGUUUCGUUGAAAGUGACCAAUUUGGGAUAAAAUACGGGUCAAGCGAUAAUACCGGAUGAUUAUGAAAUAGUACCAUGCAAGGUACCAUAUGAACACGGUAGUAUAAUAUAUAAAGUAUAUAAAAAGUAUAUUAAAAAUAAGUAGAAUUUUAAGAAAUUUGUGGCAAUUUUUAAACUACACGGGUAAUUGAUUAAUUAUCGGGUAACCAAACAUUACCCAGUUAACUAAUAAGUGGAUAAAAAUUUAUAAAAUACACCCCCAAAACAUAGCAUAAAGCCACAAUGACUAAGGAUGACUCUUAGUCAUUUAUGCCAUGUGGCUACUUAUGGAUUUAACUAAACUAAGACUUGAAUAUAAGUCUUAUCUUAGAAUGUCCAUUAGGAUAAAAAAUAAGACUUGAUUAUAAGUCUUAUCCAUGAGUCAUUGUUAUAUCAAUACCUUGUUAGUUCAAAAACGUUCUGCCUUAGUUCAAAAACGUUAGAGCAGAAGCAAUUCUUUCAUAGAUCAAAAACGUUCAUUCUCAGUUCAAAUACGUUAGGAGCAGGAGCAAAAUUCGUUUCACAAAAGCUUCCAACGAGAAUUUGUUGGACUAAUAGCAACAUAAAAUUUUGCGGUUCUAAAGGAGUAUGGUGCAAUCUUUGCCAAGGAUAUUAUACAGAGUUUUCCCUACUCCAGGUAUGUUAAGGUCAUCCCUUUUUUUUUGCAUGGUCCAAAUUAUAUAGAAGAAACGAGCAAAUGCACAGUUUCCAUAAAUUACUCUAUCCAUAGAAAUAUUAGGGGUGUCUAUAUUCUUGAUUACUCAUGUGAGUUAUUAUUAUCUUCUGUUCACGGGUCUCAGAAUAAUACGCAACUGAAAAAUUUUAUCCGGAAGGAAUAUUGAGAUUUUUACGUAUUUUUCAUGCAUUUCACCCAUUUAUACAUAUGCAUUGACCCAUGACCAGAUGACAUUAUAUAUGCGUAUAUAUGUAUAUUAUAUGUAUAUGUUAUAUGAGAAAAGGUACAGCGUUAUAUACGCACCACCACCUAAUUAGGUGGUAUAUAUUGAUGGUGUUGCCCAUAGCGGCCGAGAUGAUAUGAUGGGAUGCCCUCAGUGGCGUGAUGAUGUUAUGUACACCUAUACCCAUGCAUGAUACGACAUUUAUAUACACUGCAUAACACUAUAAAUGUUUCAGAAUUUACAAAAGUAUUCAUAUUUAUAGAUGGAUUUCUUUAUUCCCUGUUUCAUCUAUUUCACUGGGCUUGCAUCUCAUGCCCGCAGGUGCAGGUAGGCAAGCUAACGGUCCCCCUUAUUAGGAUCCAUGAUCAGCGAGAGUUGGCGUGCUCCACUUGAUCUGGAGCUGCUUUUGAUUUUGGUACGAUAUGUUUAUAUAUAUAUAUAUAUAUGAUGUGGCUCGGUCCCGUCUUUAUACAGUUAUAUUUCUAUUAGAGGUUUGUAGACAGUAUGCCUAGUGGGAUAGUAUGUGGCCUUGACAGGUUCCAGUUUUGAGAUGUAUAGUUGUCUAUAGCAGCCUUGUCGGUUCGCCCUAUGUAUGUUGCACGUAUAUGUAUGUAUGCCCUUUUGGGCAGAUUUCCUUCAGGUACAUUAUUCUCGUAAUUCAGCAGAUGUUAUUCAA
rnacentral:lncRNA from 1 species